UGUAUGUUAAACGAGAAGACUUUAGAUAUGAUCCAGAGUACCACGGGACACGUGAAACCCUGUGGGAAGCAGGAGGGACCACCCUCCAAGGCUAAAUACUACCUAGUGACCGAUAGCGUAUAGUACCGUGAGGGAAAGGUGAAAAGAACCCCGGGAGGGGAGUGAAAUAGAACCUGAAACCCUGCACUUACAAGCUGUGGAAGCACAUUUCUUGUGUGACCGCGUACUUUUUGUAGAACGGGCCAACGAGUUACGUUAAGUAGCAAGGUUAAGCACUUAAGGUGCGGAGCCGUAGCGAAAGCGAGUUUUAACUGAGCGUUCAGUUACUUGACGUAGACCCGAAACCGGGCGACCUACCCAUGAGCAGGAUGAAGCGAAAGUAAAAUUUCGUGGAGGUCCGAACCCACGAGCGUUGAAAAGCUCGGGGAUGACUUGUGGGUAGCGGUGAAAUUCCAAUCGAGCCCGGAGAUAGCUGGUUCUCCCCGAAAUAGCUUUAGGGCUAGCCUCAAGGUGAGAGAUACGGAGGUAGAGCACUGAAUGUCCUAGGGGGUAUUGCACCUACCGAAGACUAUCAAACUCCGAAUGCCGUCAUCUUAUACUUGGGAGUCAGACUGUGGGUGAUAAGAUUCAUAGUCGAAAGGGCAACAGCCCAGAUCGUCAGCUAAGGUCCCUAAAUGUAAGUUAAGUGGUAAAGGAUGUGGGAUUGCACAGACAACCAGGAUGUUGGCUUAGAAGCAGCCACUCAUUCAAAGAGUGCGUAAUAGCUCACUGGUCGAGUGAUCCUGCGCCGAAGAUUUCCGGGGCUAAAACUUACUACCGAAGCUACGGCAUCAGUAAUGAUGGGUAGGGGAGCUUCCCAUACGGGUUGAAGCAUGACCGUAAGGACAUGUGGACAGUAUGGGAGUGAGAAUGUUGGCAUGAGUAGCGAGAUGUGGGUGAGAAUCCCACAGGCCGUAAACCCAAGGUUUCCAGGGGAAGGUUCGUCCGCCCUGGGUUAGUCGGGACCUAAGCUGAGGCCGAAAGGCGUAGGUGAUGGACAACAGGUUGAUAUUCCUGUAC
rnacentral:rRNA from 1 species